GACGAACGCUGGCGGCGUGCUUAACACAUGCAAGUCGAACGGAAAGGCCCUGCUUUUGUGGGGUGCUCGAGUGGCGAACGGGUGAGUAACACGUGAGUAACCUGCCCUUGACUUUGGGAUAACCUCAGGAAACUGGGGCUAAUACCGGAUAGGAGCUCCUGCUGCAUGGUGGGGGUUGGAAAGUUUCGGCGGUUGGGGAUGAACUCGCGGCUUAUCAGCUUGUUGGUGGGGUAGUGGCUUACCAAGGCGUUGACGGGUAGCCGGCCUGAGAGGGUGACCGGCCACAUUGGGACUGAGAUACGGCCCAGACUCCUACGGGAGGCAGCAGUGGGGAAUAUUGCACAAUGGGCGGAAGCCUGAUGCAGCAACGCCGCGUGCGGGAUGACGGCCUUCGGGUUGUAAACCGCUUUCGCCUGGGACGAAGCGUGAGUGACGGUAAUUGGUAAAGAAGCACCGGCUAACUACGUG
rnacentral:rRNA from 1 species